AUGUGCAUACCAAAAAAUCGAGGAACGGGAUUCCGUGAUAUCCACUGUUUCAACCUGGAUUUGCUCACAAAACAGGCAUGGCGUCUUCUUGAUUAUCCCGAUUCCUUGUGUGCUACUAUUCUAAGGGCCAAGUACCAUCUUGAUGGCGAUUUUCUGAAUUCCAAGCGAAAGCAUGGCGUUUCUUUCACCUGGCAAAGCAUUAUGGCAGGCAUAACUUCCCUGAAACGUGGCUAUAUUUGUCAAGUGGGGAAUGGACAUAAAAUCAAUAUUUGGGAAGAUGCCUAG
rnacentral:rRNA from 1 species